rnacentral:rRNA from 1 species
UACGUAGGGUGCAAGCGUUAAUCGGAAUUACUGGGCGUAAAGCGUGCGCAGGCGGUUUUGUAAGUUUGUCGUGAAAUCCCCGGGCUCAACCUGGGAAUGGCGGUGAAGACUGCAAGGCUAGAAUCUGGCAGAGGGGGGUAGAAUUCCACGUGUAGCAGUGAAAUGCGUAGAGAUGUGGAGGAACACCGAUGGCGAAGGCAGCCCCCUGGGUCAAGAUUGACGCUCAUGCACGAAAGCGUGGGGAGCAAACAGG